CACGUAGUUAGCCGUGGCUUCCUCCUCAGGUACCGUCAUUAUCGUCCCUGAAGACAGAGCUUUACAACCCGAAGGCCGUCAUCACUCACGCGGCGUUGCUGCAUCAGGGUUUCCCCCAUUGUGCAAUAUUCCCCACUGCUGCCUCCCGUAGGAGUCUGGGCCGUGUCUCAGUCCCAAUGUGGCCGAUCACCCUCUCAGGUCGGCUACGCAUCGUCGCCUUGGUGAGCCGUUACCUCACCAACUAGCUAAUGCGCCGCGGGCCCAUCUCAUAGCGGAUUGCUCCUUUAAUUGCUACUUCAUGCGAAGCUACAAUCUUAUGCGGUAUUAAUCUCCCUUUCGGAAGGCUAUUCCCCUCUAUGAGGCAGGUUGCCCACGUGUUACUCACCCGUCCGCCGCUAGCUUUGUUCCGAAGAACUCCACUCGCUCGACUUGCAUGUGUUAGGCACGCCGCCAGCGUUCGUCCUGAGCCAGGAUCAAACUCU
rnacentral:rRNA from 1 species